rnacentral:rRNA from 1 species
AGAUUGAACGCUGGCGGCAUGCCUAACACAUGCAAGUCGAACGGGAGUAGCAAUACUCUAGUGGCGGACGGGUGAGGAAUACGUAGGAAUUUGCCCUUAAGUGGGGGAUAACCCGGGGAAACCCGGAUUAAUACCGCAUGACCUCGAAAGAGCAAAGUGGGGGAUCGCAAGACCUCACGCUUUUGGAGAAGCCUACGUCGGAUUAGCUAGUUGGUGAGGUAAUGGCUCACCAAGGCGACGAUCCGUAACUGGUCUGAGAGGAUGAUCAGUCACACCGGAACUGAGACACGGUCCGGACUCCUACGGGAGGCAGCAGUGGGGAAUAUUGGACAAUGGGCGCAAGCCUGAUCCAGCAAUG